rnacentral:rRNA from 1 species
AACGUAGGAGACGAACGUUAUCCGGAGUUACUGGGCGUAAAGGGCGUGUAGGCGGUUUGUUAAGUCUGGCGUGAAAGCUCUCGGCUAAACCGGGAGAGGUCGUUGGAUACUGGCGAACUAGAGGAUGGUAGAGGCGUGUGGAAUUCCGGGGUGUAGUGGUGAAAUGCGUAGAGAUCCGGAGGAACACCAGUGGCGAAGGCGACACGCUGGGCCAUACCUGACGCUAAAGCGCGACAGCAUGGGGGAGCAAACGGGG